rnacentral:lncRNA from 1 species
AAAGGAGAUAAAGGUUUUGUUCCUUUGUUGACAAUUUAUCCUUGUGUCUGGUUAUUGCUGAUUAUAUUUCGUUUUUGGUUUUCUCUAUUUUGUUGGUUUAGACUCCCUUGCCUCUUGGUAUGGGUGGUUGUUUUGGUGUCCUGUUAUUUUUCGGCCUCGUCCCUCUCGUUUUUCUCCCUUGUCAAAGGUGGCUGUAUCAACUUUUGUUUGUAUUUUGCUAUUAUUUCUUUGGUUUUUGUUUCAAGUCUUAGAUGUUCAUUGGGGGAGGGGAGCUGCUUGCUUGACCUUGUUUUAAGGGAUUUCAACUCUGGCUACUAGAAAGGGAUUUUGUUGACAUGAUAUCAUUAUCUCGGAAUUGCACCGCUCCUUUUAGUUGUUAUUGGUUGGAAUCUACCAUGUAUCUUGUCUCUGCCGCUGAUGCUUUUCUCUGUUAUGCCAAGGGUUCCUUUUCUUUGCUUGUUGCAUAUUUGCAUUAUGAUUGUCGUUUCAUUUUUCUAGUCAUCGUUAGACUUUGCUUUGCUCUGAUUUGAUCGUCGCUUGCUUUACGGAGUGAUCGAUUUUCCGAUCAGUCAGUGCCUGUUUGCUGAUUUGGUACUACUUAAGUGUGGCGGUGACUGUUUAGUUGCUCAAUUUGAAUUACUUGUAUUUAGAUCGAGUGAUUUAUCAUUUAGUUAUUUGUUUUUGAAUCGAGUGUUUUACCUUGUGUGAUUAGAUUACUAAAAUGCAGUAGGCUAGUUGUCC